rnacentral:snoRNA from 1 species
AUCGUUUUCUGGUUCAUAACCAUGACUGGGUGUUCACAUUGCUUGUGUGAUAUAUGCCUCUCUUAAUGUUGUUAUGUAUUUGGCACAUUUGACA